AUACGGAGGGUGCAAGCGUUACUCGGAAUCACUGGGCGUGAAGGACGCGUAGGCGGGGUGGAAAGUCUGAUGUGAAAUCCUACAGCUUAACUGUAGAACUGCAUUGGAAACUUACAACCUAGAGUAUGGGAGGGGGAGAUGGAAUUAGUGGUGUAGGGGUAAAAUCCGUAGAUAUCACUAGGAAUACCCAAAGCGAAGGCGAUCUUCUGGAACAUUACUGACGCUAAGGCGUGAAAGCGUGGGGAGCAAACGGGAUUAGAAACCCCAGUAGUCC
rnacentral:rRNA from 1 species